rnacentral:rRNA from 1 species
CACGUAGGGUGCGAGCGUUGUCCGGAAUUAUUGGGCGUAAAGAGCUUGUAGGCGGUGUGUCGCGUCGGCCGUGAAAACCUGGGGCUUAACUCUGGGCGUGCGGUCGAUACGGGCAUCACUGGAAUUCGGCAGGGGAGACUGGAAUUCCUGGUGUAGCGGUGAAAUGCGCAGAUAUCAGGAGGAACACCGGUGGCGAAGGCGGGUCUCUGGGCCGAUACUGACGCUGAGGAGCGAAAGCGUGGGGAGCGAACAGG